CCUACGGGGGGCUGCAGUGGGGGAUAUUGCACAAUGGGGGGAACCCUGAUGCAGCGACGCCGCGUGUGGGAAGACGGUCCUCUGGAUUGUAAACCACUGUCCCCAGGGACGAAAAUGACGGUACCUGGGAGGAAGCUCCGACUAACUACGUGCCAGCAGCCGCGGUAAUACGUAGGGAGCGAGCGUUGUCCGGAAUUACGGGGUGUAAAGGGAGCGUAGGCGGGGAUGCAAGUUGGGGGUCAAAACUACCGGCUCAACUGGUAGUCGCACUCAAAACUGCAGCUCUUGAAUGAAGUAGAGGCAGGCGGAAUUCCUAGUGUAGCGGUGAAAUGCGUAGAUAUUAGGAGGAACACCAGUGGCGAAGGCGGCCUGCUGGGCUUUUACUGACGCUGAGGCUCGAAAGUGUGGGGAGCAAACAGGAUUAGAUACCCUAGUAGUC
rnacentral:rRNA from 1 species